UCAUUCUUCCUCCAGUGACCAGGGAGAAUGUACAUGGGUGGGGGAUUUGUAAUUCAUUAAUCAGCACGAGGCAACGGACCAGUUUCAACACCACAGGCUUCUUGGGUGACUCAGCGGGAAUGCUCCGAUUCAAGGCGAUGGACCGCCCGAGCGUCCCCAUUUGUGAAAUGUUUCCCCAUGAAGACCCUGGCAUUCUCCUUCCUUUGGGGUUUCGGGUUGUUGGUUUUUCCGGUGGUGAGGUGGGGGUGGCUUAGCGGUGAGGGCUCCCCCUCCUUCCCGCAGGCCUGGGUUGGGAUUUGCUGGGCAGGAUACCUGGGGGUAUGCCUGGACCCUCCCAGAGGGGGUCCCCUCCUCCCUCUCCAAGGGCUGCCGGGGAGAACACGCUCAGAGGAGGCAGCUCUAACCCAGGGCUGGGGACUGCCCUGCUUCAUGAUUUUCCUGGGGGAGAGUCAUGUGGUCCCCAAGGCUUGGGUGCCCUAUAGCCACACCACCAAUUAAAUCACUGGGUAAUAAGUUG
ensembl:lncRNA novel transcript